UCCUGUUCAAACUUGAAAAUGAAAAUUCCUCCACUUCAAAAUGAACAGGCAAGAAAUGCUGUAGGCUGGGUUUUCCCGGGGAGCCCGACAGCCAUCUGCUCUGGGACUGAGCGUGCAUAGAGCCUGAGCUCCCGGUGCUGGUUAGUGCAGUUCAGACCUUUUCCUCUACCCUGCCCACAUCUCGGUGACGGCAGCGACAGCAUCACAUUAAAGGCGGAGUGAUCCCCCGAAUGUAGACGCCUCAAUGCUGGAGGAAGACGUCUUUCGCAUGCGGGGUUUUCCUCCCCGUUUGACUUACCUGUUCUUAGGCAUACUCCCUUGGAGUCUCCUGUUAUUUAGUUGACCAACUGAGGGUUACAAAGUUGUUAAUAUAUAUGUAGCAUAAAAUUUGAAAGAAGAAACAACGGGCAGAAACUCUGAUUCACUGGGGCGCAGAGCCCCCAGCCUGAGCCCCAUCCUGGCUGUGUCCCCUUCAUCAGCUCACCGUGGCCUUGGGGGCCAUGGUUUCUUCAGCUGUAAGAUGAAGGUUCAGGGUUUCUCUGAGUGCUAAAAUCUUGCCUUUUUGCGAUUGCUGGUUUUAAAUGCCACCGUCAUUUCAAAGCACGUACCCGGGGAGGUUCCCCCAGGCACACACGACCUCGUGCUGGAUCUGAGAGGCUGUGUCAUUUGGUCGGAUGGAGCUGCCUACAGCUGCUGGUGGCUCGACCAGCUCAGAAGGGUGGAAUCCAGUUUGCCGUUUUCUUCUCCGAGGGAUUGGCCAAAUGCCAGGUACUCCCACGUUGCCCGCCCCCGACCCCUCCUUGCACGCCGUGUGUGCAUGGAGAGAUUCUCUGCACGCACCCUGCUAGACCUGCCCGCUAAUCGUGCGUCUUCCAAACCCACACAAGGUGAUCGUCCGCCCUCGAAUUCCGACAGUGAGGGAUGAGGUAUGUUCACGGACUGAAUCGGAGGGAGUUUGUUUCCCAGCACAGCAGCAGGGACAGACAGGCUGCUUCUCCUUCCUCCCCGCCUCCCUAGACAUCUCUGUCCCACCAGCGUCACCACGGGGGCUGCCCUGGAAAUGGAGAGCGAGUACUUCUCAUUCCCCUUCCCAAGCUCUGCCACAAAGGCCUGGGCCGUCCCACUCCUCACCUCCCUGCUGCGCCGGCCCCUCCGCCCCCCACGUCUCUCCUCUGAUGAGAUUUCCUCUCUCAGGGAGUAGUUUGGUCCUGUUCAAAUUCCCCUGGUACUUUAAAUCUGGUUCCAAUCAACAUAAUCACAGUGUGUGCAGUGAUAUCCACUCUGCCUUGAUUUGCUCGUGUAAUUCACGCUGUGUCCUCCACUUCCCGGGCUGUUUUAUAUACACACACUCCAAUGGAGAUACGUGUGUAUAUAUUACAUACGAUGCAGGCUUAUUACAGAUUGAAAGGGAGGCACAUUUCCAUCAUGGCUGCAAUCACUUUUCAUCUUUCUCCAAAUCAGCAUCUUAAUGCAUAUCACUUCAACUGGACUUCUAGAUGCCUAGGGGCUCUUUUUACUUUUUUAAGAACAGCUGUCUAAUUCUAGGUCAGAAACUAGCUACAGUUGGAGAGCAGACUUCUUUUAUCUCCAUCACAAACCUCAUCCAAGUGAUGGACUUGUGUCCGGGCAAGUGUGGGAUUUGCCUUGCCACAUGAUACACAACUUGCCGGUUUGGCAGUGUUUUCUCUUCUGUCCUCAUGCCUGUGCUGUGACAAGUCCUUCCUCUUAUGUGGGAGGAAAGAUAUGAGGUGGCCCAGGGGAAGAAGCUCUGAUGCAUGAAGGCCAUGGAGGUCAGUAUGGAUAGGAACUCAAAAAAGGCUGCUUCGUGAUAGAACCACAGCAUACGUAGCACACAGUGAGGUCUACCGGCCUGGCUCCCCUGCUGCCCGGGUCACGCUGGGACAAAGUGAAGCAGGUGCUACUCUGAGCAUUAGAGAGCAAGUCCCCCAGCUAGGUGGGUCCUCACCUCAGAGGGGACGGUGGAUACCACCCAGAACAGAGAAGCCAAUGGACUUGCUGAAUCCAUCUUGUAAAUCUGUAACAACAAAUUCUGGCAAGUCAUGGCUUUUAAUUGCCAGAGCCGGGGACUUAGAAAGAAAUGUUUUCUUGUGAAUUCCAAAUAUUUAACUUUACUCAUUAAAAGCCAAAGUCUGGAGGAGGCAGAGCAUAAUGACAUAAGAGCUGUUUUCCUAAACAGUGGGCUAGAAGGGGGAGGCUUUGGAGAGGGUGACAUCAGAACUUGGACAUGCUCCGUGAAGGGGGAGCACCGGGGGUGGGGUGGCCCAUGUAGAGUCCUGUGAGCAAGAACAAGAGCCACACUGGGAGGCAGCUUCAGAAGCCCAGGUCCCCGUGCUGGGGCCAGUGGACAUUCCCUAGGGCAUGGCGAUUGUUGUGCAGUGCACAGCAGAAUGGGGACAUCCGCACACCUUCACUUACCUACAGGUCACGUAUCAACGUAGGAGUUUAUAUGUAGUAAGUAACCCUAGAAGUAAUCCUGACCAAUAAGGUAAGAUAGAGAAACAGUGGCAAACCUUCCUUGAAGGUCACAGGUCUUGUGGAAGAUGUCUCUCUCACAUUUUAAAAGAACAUAAAAAUAAUUUUUGAGCCGUGCACUUUUUUCAUAUUUAACUUUUGAUUUUGAGAUCAUUUUAGCUUCACGGUAUCCAUUUUUUUUUCUAAUGACCCAUGUCUUUGAUUUAGUGAGAUUCCCUACAUUAAAACAAAGCAAAAGAAGGACAGGGACCCCCCACUUCCCCUUUGCACGAUCGCCUGUUCAUGAGCUCGUUUUCAGAGAGACUUCUGGCGUGGAGGUUCUGAUGAGGAGAAAUGAUAAAGUUGAGCGUCUUGCCCUUCUCUGCUGUGGGCACGGGACUCCUGACCUCCACUGUGGGCAGGAAGCCGGAUUAGCUGCCACAGGCCCCAGGAGGGCAUGUCCAUGCAGGUUUUGCAGCAGGAAAACAGCCCUCGCCACGAAGUUGCAUUCCUGACUCCUCUGUCCUGACGUGGACACUGAGGCAGAGGUGGGGACAUCUGUGUUCCUGGGGCAUUCCGCUUGGAGUCCUCACUGUAACCUGAGUGAGCCGACUGUGUGGUUCCUGUUGCUAAAUCCCCCCUGCCACCCUCUCUUCCCAUGGUGACAGGGCAGGGCCGUGCCCUCCUCUUCAUUUCCUGUCCCUGAGUGCAUGUGCCCCUGCCUUCUCCCAGGCCUCUGGGGGUCAGGGUGGCUCUGCGUGGCAUCCAACACUGUCUCUCCUGUCCUCCGCCUCUGCCUUCCCAGCAGAGCUGUGGGACCAGAAGACAGAGACUGCCUCACCUGUGACGUCCGGACGCACGUGCCGAGCACACCGCACAGCCUGGCGCCUUCUCUACGUGAAACCCUGCUUGCACCGCCAGCGUGUGGCCCAGAUGAUUUCUGAUCAAGUCUAUCGUUUUGAAAUGCAAAAUGUAUAUCUCUCAACCACUGACAGUCACAGAAGCUGCACGUGUUGUCAGCACCCGCUUUGCGCUUCCUCCCUUCCCCACUCUUCUUCCUUUCGGCAAUUCGAGUUUCCAUUUACUUCCUUCCUUACUGUUGUUCUCUCUUCUCCCCUAUCACUAGAUCUCGCAAUAAACAUUCGACAUAG